rnacentral:rRNA from 1 species
GCAUAUCAAUAAGCGGAGGAAAAGAAACCAACAGGCCAUUGCCUCAGUAACGGCGAGUGAAGCGGCAAGAGCUCAAAUUUGAAAGCUGGCUCCUUCGGGGUCCGCAUUGUAAUUUGCAGAGGAUGCUUCGGGAGCGGUCCCCAUCUAAGUGCCCUGGAACGGGCCGUCAUAGAGGGUGAGAAUCCCGUAUGGGAUGGGGUGCCCGCGACCAUGUGAAGCUCCUUCGACGAGUCGAGUUGUUUGGGAAUGCAGCUCUAAAUGGGUGGUAAAUUUCAUCUAAAGCUAAAUAUUGGCCGGAGACCGAUAGCGCACAAGUAGAGUGAUCGAAAGAUGAAAAGCACUUUGAAAAGAGAGUUAAAAAGCACGUGAAAUUGUUGAAAGGGAAGCGCUUGCGACCAGACUCGCCCGCGGGGUUCAGCCGGUAUUCGUACCGGUGUACUUCCCCGUGGGCGGGCCAGCGUCGGUUUGGGCGGCCGGUCAAAGGCCCUCGGAAUGUAACGCCUCUCGGGGCGUCUUAUAGCCGAGGGUGCCAUGCGGCCAGCCCGGACCGAGGAACGCGCUUCGGCACGGACGCUGGCAUAAUGGUCGUAAGCGACCCGUCUUGAAACACGGACCAAGGAGUCUAACAUCUACGCGAGUGUUCGGGUGUCAAACCCGUGCGCGCAGUGAAAGCGAACGGAGGUGGGAACCCUUUGGGUGCACCAUCGACCGAUCCUGAUGUCUUCGGAUGGAUUUGAGUAAGAGCGUAGCUGUUGGGACCCGAAAGAUGGUGAACUAUGCCUGAAUAGGGCGAAGCCAGAGGAAAGCUCUGGUGGAGGCUCGCAGCGGUUCUGACGUGCAAAUCGAUCGUCAAAUUUGGGUAUAGGGGCGAAAGACUAAUCGAACCAUCUAGUAGCUGGUUUCCUGCCGAAG